UACAGAGGGUGCGAGCGUUGUUCGGAAUUAUUGGGCGUAAAGGGUGCGUAGGCGGUCGCGCAAGUCGGAUGUGAAAUCUCAGGGCUCAACCCUGAAACUGCAUUCGAUACUGCGUGGCUAGAGUGCUGGAGAGGAGACUGGAAUUUACGGUGUAGCAGUGAAAUGCGUAGAUAUCGUAAGGAAGACCAGUGGCGAAGGCGAGUCUCUGGACAGCAACUGACGCUGAGGCACGAAGGCCAGGGGGAGCAAACGGG
rnacentral:rRNA from 1 species